rnacentral:rRNA from 1 species
GAUGAACGCUAGCGGCAGGCUUAAUACAUGCAAGUCGUGGGGCAGCAGGGGCGUAGCAAUACGCUCGCUGGCGACCGGCAAACGGGUGCGGAACACGUACACAACCUUCCUUUAAGUGGGGAAUAGCCCGGGGAAACCCGGAUUAAUACCCCGUAACAUAAUGAAGUGGCAUCGCUUUAUUAUUAUAGCUCCGGCGCUUGAAGAUGGGUGUGCGACUGAUUAGGCAGUUGGCGGGGUAACGGCCAACCAAACAUACGAUCAGUAACUGGUGUGAGAGCACGACACGUGACCAGGGCACGGAGACCCGGGCGCGACCCCUGCAGGAGGUAGCCGUAAGGAAAAUUGGUCUACGGACGCUAGUCUGAACCAGCCAUGCCGCGUGGAGGAUGAAGGUCCUCUGGAUUGUAAACUUCUUUGAUCUGGGAAGAAAACCAUGAAUUCUUGUGUGGUUGACGGUACCAGAUGAAUAAGCACCGGCUAACUCCGUGCCAGCCGCCGCGGUAA